GAUGAACGCUGGCGGCGUGCCUAAUACAUGCAAGUCGAGCGAACAGACGAGGAGCUUGCUCCUCUGACGUUAGCGGCGGACGGGUGAGUAACACGUGGAUAACCUACCUAUAAGACUGGGAUAACUUCGGGAAACCGGAGCUAAUACCGGAUAAUAUAUUGAACCGCAUGGUUCAAUAGUGAAAGACGGUUUUGCUGUCACUUAUAGAUGGAUCCGCGCCGCAUUAGCUAGUUGGUAAGGUAACGGCUUACCAAGGCAACGAUGCGUAGCCGACCUGAGAGGGUGAUCGGCCACACUGGAACUGAGACACGGUCCAGACUCCUACGGGAGGCAGCGGUAGGGAAUCUUCCGCAAUGGGCGAAAGCCUGACGGAGCAACGCCGCGUGAGUGAUGAAGGUCUUCGGAUCGUAAAACUCUGUUAUUAGGGAAGAACAAAUGUGUAAGUAACUAUGCACGUCUUGACGGUACCUAAGCAGAAAGCCACGGCUAACUACGU
rnacentral:rRNA from 1 species